CCGAGGCGGGGCCGAGCGGGGUCCGAGGCAAGCCGAGCGGGGCCGAGGCUGGAGGCCGAGGCUCGCAGAUCGGGGCCGAGGCGUGCCGAGCGGGGCCGAGGCAGGGCCGAGCACGGCCGAGCUUGCAGCCAUUAGUGAUGUGUUUGUGGAAAACUAUGUCCCUGGCAAACUUUCUGAGAUGGGCCUAGGGUAUGAAGAUAUAGACAAGAUUGCUCUUCACAUCACCUACUGUUCCAUCCAGCACAUAGGACCAUGGUGGCACCAGCAACAAUAAGAUAGGCCCUCCCACAUCUGCCAUGAAGAAAGUGCACCACAGGCCAGUCUGGUGGGGACAUUUUCUCAAUUGAAGUUCCCACUUCCCAUAUAACAGCUUGUGUCACACCAACAGAAGACUGGCCAGCACAAGUGCUGACAUGCGCUUUGUCAUGUUGAGCCACUUUACCUGGAUUUGCUUGGCCACUCUCUUUCACCUAUUGUUAAUCGUCUUUGAACCAGUAGAUUCAGGAAUAAAGCAGCUAGUCAGAAAGUCUAAAGUCAUCUAUGAGAUGUGAGUUUGCAUGGGUAUAAAGCAAGAUUCAUUUCUUUUGUAGAAGUUUGUCAUUCUUGCUAGAUUUCUUUGUAUUUUUUAAAACUAAGACUGAUUAUACCAGUCUAACACUGCACAUGUCAUCAUGGGGAUUCUUGUCUUUCCUGAUGUUUCUCAGUGUUGCUACUGUGUUGUCAGUGCUGCCCAAGUCCAAUUCUGCCCCUUUGGAGUUGGCUGUAUUACUGACGAGAGUAAUGUUCAAAUGCCUGGGAUUUGCUUUAAUGAAGCCUGACAAUUGUAUAGUUGAAAUUGCCCCAAUCUAUGAAAUCUGGCAUGCUAAAUGAAAAUGCUAAACUGAUUUCAAAUGCGGAAGGGCCUGGUUAUGAUUCCUGUGGUCCUUAUCAUUUCAGAGGAAACUAAAUGUGAACAGUAGGGGGCAGUGUUUAAAAAGCUAUUGUUCACCAGCAAUGACUUUUUGCAAAAACUGCAAAACCCGAGGAGGGCAAAUCUCUAAUGGUACAGAUUUAUACUUUUUAAAUGGA